GAUGAACGCUGGCGGCGUGCCUAAUACAUGCAAGUCGAGCGAACAGACGAGGAGCUUGCUCCUCUGACGUUAGCGGCGGACGGGUGAGUAACACGUGGAUAACCUACCUAUAAGACUGGGAUAACUUCGGGAAACCGGAGCUAAUACCGGAUAAUAUAUUGAACCGCAUGGUUCAAUAGUGAAAGACGGUUUUGCUGUCACUUAUAGAUGGAUCCGCGCCGCAUUAGCUAGUUGGUAAGGUAACGGCUUACCAAGGCGACGAUGCGUAGCCGACCUGAGAGGGUGAUCGGCCACAAUGGAACUGAGACACGGUCCAGACUCCUACGGGAGGCAGCAGUAGGGAAGCUUCCGCAAUGGGCGAAAGCCUGACGGAGCAACGCCGCGUGAGUGAUGAAGGUCUUCGGAUCGUAAAACUCUGUUAUUAGGGAAGAACAAAUGUGGAAGUAACUAUGCACGGCUUGACGGUACCUAAUCAGAAAGCCACGGCUAACUACGUG
rnacentral:rRNA from 1 species